GAUGAACGCUGGCGGCGUGCCUAAUACAUGCAAGUCGAGCGAACGGACGAGAAGCUUGCUUCUCUGAUGUUAGCGGCGGACGGGUGAGUAACACGUGGAUAACCUACCUAUAAGACUGGGAUAACUUCGGGAAACCGGAGCUAAUACCGGAUGAUAUUUUGAACCGCAUGGUUCAAAAGUGAAAGACGGUCUUGCUGUCACUUAUAGAUGGAUCCGCGCUGCAUUAGCUAGUUGGUAAGGUAACGGCUUACCAAGGCAACGAUGCAUAGCCGACCUGAGAGGGUGAUCGGCCACCCUGGAACUGAGACACGGUCCCGACUCCUACGGGAGGCAGCAGUAGGGAAUCUUCCGCCAUGGGCGAAAGCCUGACGGAGCAACGCCGCGUGAGUGAUGAAGGUCUUCGGAUCGUAAAACUCUGUUAUUAGGGAAGAACAUAUGUGUAAGUAACUGUGCACAUCUUGACGGUACCUAAUCAGAAAGCCACGGCUAACUACGUG
rnacentral:rRNA from 1 species